GGAAAAUCAGCAGGGGUAAAAGACCAAGGCUUUUCAUCUCUCGAAACAAGACACUUUUAAUGAAACUUCUGUCCUUCCACUGAAAGUCCAUGCUUAACCAUACUUGUGUGACGCAAGAACAAACCUCAUUGGUUCUCGUGGAUAAAUCAGGUUGUAGUCGUCUAUCAUGUCAUCUGCAACGGAGGUGUAAAUUUCUUGUGAUUGUCAUCGUAGCGGUGCUAACAACAGGUGAAGCUGCCAUCAACUACUAUAUUAGUCGAGAUAUCAACAACUAUAUUAGCCGAGUUAGCCACCAACUGCUGCUCUUCACUAACCCACAGAACGGGACGAGCAAUAUAUUAAUGUAGCUGGAUUGGUUAUCAAAUAUUAUUUAUGUUUUUUUUUAUGAUCUGUUGUAUGGUAUUUUUUUUUCUGACCAUAAACCAUAAAAGCCUGUAAAUGUCUGUUACAGGAUAUUUCUCCAAGUAAAAACAGAUAUGCUGAUUAUGAGGGCUCACCCAUAUUUUGGGUUACCUAAUUCUGCAUUACAUUUAAAUUCAUGCAUUUGCCAGAUGGUUUAAUCCAAAGCAGCUUGUGCAGAAUAAGUUUGAGGUCUGGAUUAUGUCAUCUGCAGUACAUUCCAGUCUGAGCCUUUACUUGUGAUUGCCAUCAUAACCGCGAUAACAUGAACUGGUAAAUUAGACAAUGUAAACUAGUUAAAAGAGAUAUGCAUUUUUUAUUUUAAUCCAUUCCCUGGGAAUCAACUCCAUUAUUUCAUCAAUGUAACACUUUGCUCUACUGUUUGAUCUACAUGAAUGCAUUGUAAGGAAUGGAGCUUUAAUUAUU